rnacentral:rRNA from 1 species
GUGCCAGCAGCCGCGGUAAGACGGAGGGGGCAAGCGUUGUUCGGAAUUAUUGGGCGUAAAGGGCUCGUAGGCGGACGGGUAAGUCUGGCGUGAAAUCUCCACCGCUCACCGGGGAGAGGCCGCUGGAUACUGCCUGUCUGGAGUUUGGCAGAGGACCAUGGAAUUCCAGGUGUAGCGGUGGAAUGCGUAGAUAUCUGGAAGAACACCGGUGGCGAAGGCGGUGGUCUGGGCCAAAACUGACGCUGAGGAGCGAAAGCCAGGGGAGCAAACGGGAUUAGAUACCCCGGUAGUCC